CGGACGGGUGAGUAAUGUCUGGGAAACUGCCCGAUGGAGGGGGAUAACUACUGGAAACGGUAGCUAAUACCGCAUAACGUCGCAAGAUCAAAGAGGGGGACCUUCGGGCCUCUUGCCAUCGGAUGUGCCCAGAUGGGAUUAGCUAGUAGGUGGGGUAACGGCUCACCUAGGCGACGAUCCCUAGCUGGUCUGAGAGGAUGACCAGCCACACUGGAACUGAGACACGGUCCAG
rnacentral:rRNA from 1 species